AUUGGAAGGGGUGUAUUUAUUAGAUAAAAAUCAACUUUGUUGGUGAAUCAUAAUAACUUCUCGGACCGCAUGGCCUCGUGCUGGCGGUGCUUCAUUCAAAUAUCUGCCCUAUCAACUGUCGAUGGUAGGAUAGAGGCCUACCAUGGUUGCAACGGGUAACGGGGAAUAAGGGUUCGAUUCCGGAGAGGGAGCCUGAGAAACGGCUACCACAUCCAAGGAAGGCAGCAGGCGCGCAAAUUACCCAAUCCCAACACGGGGAGGUAGUGACAAUAUGUAACAAUAUACGGCCUUAUACGUCGUAUAAUUGGAAUGAGUACAAUUAAAUCAUACGAGACAUG
rnacentral:rRNA from 1 species